rnacentral:rRNA from 1 species
GACGGAGGGGGCAAGCGUUGUCCGGACUCACUGGGCGUAAAGGGUGCGUAGGCGGUUGCGUGCGUCGGCGCUGAAAUCCCUGGGCUUGACCCAGGGGCGCGUGCCGAUACGAUGCGACUUGAGGCUCGGAGAGGGUGGUAGAACUCCUGGUGUAGUGGUGAAAUGCGUAGAGAUCAGGAAGAAUACCCGUGGCGCUAGCGACCACCUGGCCGAGACCUGACGCUGAGGCACGAAAGCGUGGGGAGCGAACCGG